GGGGAACAGUGGCGCCGAGCCUGGGACCGCGCAGGAGCUGGGCGCAGCACACGGCAAGCGGGGACCCAGACAUUAGAUUUCACCUCUGGGGUCCGUCUAGUUGUUAAGCCAAAUGCCUCCGUUCAAGGUUUUAGCAGCGCACCUACAGAAACGCAGCUGGCCUUGCCUUGGUAACCUGAUGGGCAGAGUCAGAGUCCAGAAAUUUCUAGGCAGGGUUCGAUAAGGUGGAGCCCGUACAGAAACGCAAAUGGCUCUUCUUGAUCUAACUCUCUCAUAAAAACGCACGCCCGUGAGCGGUUAGGCAGUUCCUAGGGACAGCGGCUCUGCAGGGACUGCCAGUGCCUCCAACUGUCUGCACCUCUUUGUCUCCUCCAAGAAUUGAAACUGCAUUUUCUCAAGCAUGAAAAUAAAACAAAAAGUAAAAAAAAACUCUGAGCAGGUUUUUAUUACCCUUUUGUAAUAUUAUUAAUCCAUCCACCCACCCACCCGUCUGUCCGUCCGUCCCUCCAUCCCUCCACCCAU